GACAGAGGUGCCGAGCGUUAGGCGGAAUCACUGGGCUUAAAGCGCGUGUAGGUGGCGGCCUAAGUACCUUGUGAAAUCCUGCGGCUCAACCGCAGAACUGCUUGGUAUACUGGGUCGCUUGAGUCAUCCAGGGGCAACUGGAACAAGUGGUGGAGCGGUGAAAUGCGUAGAUAUCGCUUGGAACGCCAAAGGUGAAAACAGGUUGCUGGGGAUGUUCUGACACUGAGACGCGAAAGCCAGGGGAGCGAACGGG
rnacentral:rRNA from 1 species